UACGUAGGGAGCAAGCGUUAUCCGGAUUUAUUGGGUUUAAAGGGUGCGUAGGCGGUUUGAUAAGUUAGAGGUGAAAUGUCGGGGCUCAACCCCGAAACUGCCUCUAAUACUGUUGGACUAGAGAAUAGUUGCGGUAGGCGGAAUGUAUGGUGUAGCGGUGAAAUGCUUAGAGAUCAUACAGAACACCGAUUGCGAAGGCAGCUUACCAAACUAUAUCUGACGUUGAGGCACGAAAGCGUGGGUAGCAAACAGG
rnacentral:rRNA from 1 species